CUGGUUUGUUAGGUCUAGGGUGCUUUGAGCUGCAGACACUGAAUGCUCUGAUUUUACUCCAAGUUAAUGGUUCUCAUUGUGCCAAUGAUUUGGCACUGGUUAGUAUGAGUUAUUAAUAGUUCCCCAGGGCAGGUCCUCUAAGGCGAGUUGAUAGAAUUUAGUUCUGUUACGCCAGGGUCUGCCUCUCUGUAACCUAAAAGACAGGUGAGCAGUGGCAGCCAGGGCCAAGCGGGAAAAGAAAGUGCGUUCAAGACGUGGAAAGACCUGAGCGGGAAAACGGCAUCACACAGUGGGGCGACUGGAAGAAAGUACGUUGUGCGUGAAGCACAAU
rnacentral:lncRNA from 1 species